rnacentral:rRNA from 1 species
AGUGAACGCUGGCGGUAGGCCUAACACAUGCAAGUCGAACGGCAGCACAGUAAGAGCUUGCUCUUACGGGUGGCGAGUGGCGGACGGGUGAGGAAUACAUCAGAAUCUACUUUUUCGUGGGGGAUAACGUAGGGAAACUUACGCUAAUACCGCAUACGACCUACGGGUGAAAGCAGGGGAUCUUCGGACCUUGCGCGAUUGAAUGAGCCGAUGUCGGAUUAGCUAGUUGGCGGGGUAAAGGCCCACCAAGGCGACGAUCCGUAGCUGGUCUGAGAGGAUGAUAAGCCACACUGGAACUGAGACACGGUCCAGACUCCUACGGGAGGCAGCAGUGGGGAAUAUUGGACAAUGGGCGCAAGCCUGAUCCAGCCAUACCGCGUGGGUGAAGAAGGCCUUCGGGUUGUAAAGCCCUUUUGUUGGGAAAGAAAAGCAGCAGGUUAAUACCCCGCUGUUCUGACGGUACCCAAAGAAUAAGCACCGGCUAACUUCGUG